GAACAGCUUUGGGUCACAUUCUGUGGUCUCAGCUCUGGUGUUAAGUGGCUCGAAUUGGGUUUUCAGAAGUGCAGCGCCACUCCGGCAGAAUGACACAGAAGUAUUUAUCAGUUUCAGAAUGGCUCUACAUUACACACGCUGCUGUACGUACAAAGCUUUCUAUGGAUCUUUGUUAUGCAAAGGCGAGAGAUGAAAAGGAUUUCAUCAUCGAGGACCAUGGCUUCCAUCUGUAAUGAAGAAGAGUCGUGGAUUCUGAGAAACAGGAUGCUGAAGGAUCGCGUUUGCCUAAGAGGAUGGUCAGGUCUUUGACUGUGUCCAGCUGCCGCUGCCGACGGUCUCCAUGGAGGAACGGCGAUCGCCACUUUGACACCACCCUCGUGGAAGCUGGACGGCGGCAGCAGGAGCCGCUCUUCUGGGAUUUGACAGAACCCGUCCCAGCGGCAGUGGAGAGUGCCCAAGGAGCCGGCAGCUCUCAUCUGUCUCCUGACCAUUUCUAUGGUAAUUCCCCUCAUCCUUCCUAGCAUACAAGCUUCUCAGUUCAUAGCCCUUCAGUUUGAAUCCAGGGCAUGAGAAUGAUUUUUGUCCUGGAAACGUCGCAGGGAAACGGCUCAGUUGCCAGCAUCUGGGGCUUCUGAAGUUAAUUAUCCCUGUUAGAAAACAGGCAUAAGACAAAAAAAAAAAAUGCGGCCUCCGCUUGUUUUGCCUGCAGCGGGUCGUUCUCAUCUUCAGGAAUAAUGAAUCGUCUUCUAAAGUGGAACGCUGGAAGUGUGAGUAUGGCGGGUUGCACUUCAGCACCUUUGAGGAGAAACAAAAAUGGGUGGCCUUCUCUAGCGGGGGACCCAGACGUCAUGUGAAAGUUAAAUUUUUCUCGUUACAGAAUAAUUAAAUUCCCUGUCAGUCGAAUGAAUAGAACACCUGUGGAAGGCCCCAGUCAGGUGGGGGCGGGGGGCGGGGUGUGCCCUCAUGUGACGUUCCCAUCAGACCUGCUUGUGUAAUGCUCAAAAGUGGUAGUAAUGCUGCAAUAUUAAAAACGGCUGGAAUGAAUGGAUCUGCAAUGUAAAUUUUGCUUCCCAGAACACUGGGUUAAAUUUUUCAUUCUCUCAGGUGUGUGUAUAAAGGGUACAUGUGGUUUCGGCGGCUGCGGCUCUGCUUCAAAUUAGCACACAGGUGGGAAAAGGCACAGCCGGGCUGCUGUCGGCACACAGGACGCCCCCACACGUCUCAGAUACUGCGCUUCAUACUUCCUGGUGUGGUAACAGCGCGGAUUGAAGCCAAAUGUUAUAUUUCACCCUGCAACAAAUACAAGUAUGAUACACACACACUGUAGGACUGCUUCAUUCAGCCACAUAACUGAGUGAAACCCUGAACCUCUGAAACAUGAUCCAGGAAAUCUUGGUGAUACAGUGCAAGUUUGACACGUCUAGUUACUGUAAAACCUAGUGUUUUACAUGAGUGCUGCAGCCUGGAAGUCAAAGGAGCUUUUCCCAACUGAUUUCCCCAACAAAUAUUCAAGAUCAUAAGCAAAUACUGCCGUAAGCAUAUAUAUAUAUAUAGUCUUUUUUACCUCUGAUUUUUAUGGUAUACAUCAGAUUCUCAUGUUAUGCACAGUCCCGUUUUGACUUCUCAAAGAUUUGAUUUCAUUUAUGCUUUAAAAAAAUGUCUGAGGACAAGCAAACGCAGCCUGUUUUUACCCCUCCAAUCGUUCGCAGUAAAGAGCACCCUUAA